rfam:Lactococcus lactis carB and gpo genes
AAAACUUUUAAUCUAGUCCAGAGAGGCUAGCAAGGUUGUGAACAGGAAAUAUUAUGCUUAAAAGUUACUGACAAAAGAGCGGUGUAGCUUGGUCCAUAAGUACCAAAGCGGACAGGGCUAGUUCUGUCAGUAAACUGUCAGGGCAUAUUAGGACACAUCUGCUAGGUUUCUGGCAGAUGUUUUUGCUU